UACGGGGGUGGCAAGCGUUGUUCGGAAUCACUGGGCGUAAAGCGCACGUAGGCGGAUUCCUAAGUCGGUGGUGAAAUCCUGGAGCUCAACUCCAGAACUGCCUCCGAUACUGAGAGUCUUCGAGUCCGGGAGAGGUGAGUGGAACUGCGAGUGUAGAGGUGAAAUUCGUAGAUAUUCGCAAGAACACCAGUGGCGAAGGCGGCUCACUGGCCCGGUACUGACGCUGAGGUGCGAAAGCGUGGGGAGCAAACAGG
rnacentral:rRNA from 1 species